GGCCGACCAAUAGCUGCCGCCGCCUCAGUUUAGCACUGGAUACAACAGAGUGAGCUUCAAAGAGCCUGUCCACCCAGAGAGGAGAGGGAACCUCACUCCGGCUGUGAUGCGUAGCGGGACUCUGCUGGCUGAACAACACUUCUUCUAUGGGAUAAAACCUCCCGGUCACAUUUAACCGCUUACCGUGUGUGUGUAUGUGUGUGUGUGCGCGCCGCGAGGACUGAGAAAUGCUCUUGUAGCGCGAGCGCGAAUUACAUUAUCGCCCGCGUUUUUGCUUCACAAAAAAAUAUUUGGAGCUUACUUGGAGCCGUUUGGACGCUGAGUCAAGUUUUUUUUUUUUUUGUAUUAACUUGAAUUCAAUUUGUGUCGUUUACUUGGAGCCCAAAGCCCGGGAAGAGAUGGAGAGCGAAAAGUACUUGCCGGAGCUUAUGGCAGAGAAGGACACGCUGGACCCGUCUUUUCAGCACUCCCUGCGGCUACUGGAUCAAGAGAUUGAAAAAAUUCAGAAAGAUGAGGGGAAGGAAGAGGAGAAGUUCAUCGACGUCGUCAUCAACAAGAACAUGAAACUGGGCCAGAAAGUUUUAAUACCAGUCAAGCAGUUUCCUAAAUUUAACUUUGUCGGCAAACUCCUCGGGCCACGCGGGAACUCGUUAAAGAGACUACAAGAGGACACUCUCACAAAGAUGUCAAUUCUCGGAAAAGGAUCCAUGAGAGACAAAGAAAAGGAAGAAGAGCUACGGCAGAGCGGUGAGGCCAAAUAUCACCACCUGAACGAAGACCUGCACGUCCUCAUCGAGGUGUUCGCCCCGCCGGCUGAGGCCUAUGCCAGGAUGGGUCACGCUCUGGAGGAGAUCAAGAAGUUUCUCAUACCAGAUUACAAUGAUGAGAUCAGACAGGCCCAGCUGCAGGAGCUCACAUACCUGAACGGCGGCUCGGAGGAUGCCAAGGUGCCAUCGGUGAGGGGCAAGUCAGCCGCCCGUGGAAGAGGGACACCUGUUCCAGGUCCUCCCAGGACUCGAGGAGGAGUUCCUCCCCUGCAUGCGGCGGUGCCCCGAGGAGCAGCACCCAGAGGAGCCCCACCUAGCCGGGCUCCAUCUUCCAGAGGGAGGGGGGUUCAGAGAGCCAGAGGCGCACCUCCAACCGCCGGAUACCGGCCAGCUCCUCCCAUAGUUCAGGAUACAUACGGCGAAUAUGAAUAUGACGACGGCUACGGAACAGCUUAUGAUGACCAAGGAUAUGAAUCGUAUGACAACAACUACAGUAAUCAAGGACAAAACUCAGAUGACUACUAUGAAUACGGACACAGUGGGGAAUCAUAUGAUUCGUAUGGUCUGGAAGAGUGGGCAAACAAUCGCGGCAAGGCACAGUCUGCACGAACAACCAAGGGAGCGUACAGAGAUCAGCCAUACUCCAGAUAUUGAACUGUUUAUACAACCCGCACCUGAGUCCUCAUGGCUGUUUCAACCCAAGUUGACCUCCCGGCUACACCAGGCCAUCCAUCCAAUUAUCUCAUUGGUGCUAAAGACUUGACAAACCACACACGAGCUUCCCUCCAAACAUUCAAGCCCACGCAAUGUCAAACCAAAUCCCGAAAAAGUCCGUCCAACUUCAAAAAGGGUCUGCCCUUGGUCAGGCGUUGGGCAUUCAAAUUUUCCCAGUCUGGACUGAGAUGAAUCCUGAAUCCUACGGGGGACAAGAUGGAGUGACCCUUUCAGACUCAGAAAAAAAAGAAGGGAGGAAAAAGAUAAUAGAUGUAUCACACAUCGUCAUUCUCCGAAGAAAAGGGAGGGAGAGAGGAAAACCCGCGAGGCAAAUGGAGUUCCUCAUCCUCUGGGACGAUCUGUCGGAGUAUAUUUCCUUAAGAGCUUCACCGGCUCUGUAUACAUUUUACAUACACACAGGAGUGCUCUGAACUGACUGUGAACCUGCCCUGUAUCUUUCUUCAUUCAGCCUGUUGUCUAACACUUACAUUAGACAUUAGCUGUCGCCUACCAGAGAGGAUGAGUAAAUAAAUAAUGCAAUAUGCUAAAAGAAUGAAAUCAUAUUUCUAGCAAAGACACUUCUGAUCUCAUAUUGUUGUGCUCAUUAACCUAUAUCCAAUACACACGAUGAAUAAAUAAUUCACCAAGUGCCUUAUUGUUGCAUUGUUGUGACAGUUUAUAAUGUUUAGUGCCAUUGCCAGAGUUGAAUUAUGAGGCAGUACGCAAGAAAAGGUAGCUAUUUUUUUCUUCCUUCAUGCUGUUUUUUUUGGUUUUCUGUAUGCAUCACUACAAUGCUGGAAAACACCACCCAGGCACACACAAGGGUACAGUCUAUUCCAGAUGUAUUGCUUAAUCAGAAUCGACUUCAGUGGAUAUUACAAUUCCAAAAUAGCUUUCUAUCGGAUAGAGAGCUUCAUUCUGUCUUGUGCAUAAGUCCAGAUAGGCUGAUCCGUAUUCCACACAGUUGUAUGUCCUCAGUGGCAGACAAUAGUUUUCCAUUAGAGGAAGUGAUUCUCUCUGGAGCCUCGGGCCAAGCCUCACACAAUAACACAGCGACCUAAAGCUUGCAUCUCAGGCUCCCAGAGUCAACUCUCAUCACCUCCGGGGGUUGAUUCCCCCUCUGAGGUGGCUUAAAACGACAGGCUUAUCUGAAGUAAGCUUGUCCGAGUUAAUAAAGUAAGAGCAGCUUAUUUGAUUAAGAAUGCAUACAAAGGAAGCUGUAGUGAUCUGUCACUGGGAGACAUGUCCAUUUCAACACUAGAAUACGAAUCAAUGGGCUCCAAACGUUGGGUACUGGGACCAUUGGAGGUCUUUUAAAAAGGCUUCAGAGGAUCUGGAGCAAAAUUAGAAAUAGCUUAAAGACCACAAAAACCUAUUUACUCCAUCCGCUUCUUACGAUGACUCAUGAGGUCGUGCAUGAACACUAUGUCCUACCAAGAUUUGAACAGUUUUGGUUCCAUCAAAUAAGAGAUUCCUGUAUUGUUUAUUCAUCAUUACUUUGUCCCUUAUUUUAGGUAGGCCGUUGGAAAUCCAGAUGGCACGCAUUUCCAUGCACCAAUCAGAGUUCAGCAACAUUUGAAUCUGAAUGUGAUGACAUUUCAGAUCAGAGGACAUCUAAACAGUCCUGAUAAAGCAGACUAGCUAAGUAGGAGCGGGAAAAUCCGUCAUUAGUUUUCUUGCUGAGAGUUUGACAAGAACAUUGAUACCACUCACAUGUCUGUAUGGUAAAAAUGUAGCUAGGGCCAGUUAGCUUAGCUUAGCAUAAAUACUGGAAACGGGAAAAUGGCAAGCCUGGUUGUGUCCAACAAUAAAAUCCACUUACCAACGCCUCUAAGGCUCACUAGCUAACACACCACGUCUCAUUUGUUUAAUCCAUACAAAAACCAAAAGUGUACAAACACUAUUUCUUGGCCAUGACCAGUAGCCUAACUUCCUUGAGUGUCCACUGGUUGCAUGGUUAUUGGUGGAAUUGUUGUUUUACACCUUCUAAACAAACUAAUAUGUAUAUAGCGUUAUUUCUUGUAUUGAUGGAUGGCAGAUUUCGUUACCUUUAGACAGCCAGGCUGGCCGUUUCCUCCUCUUUCCAGUAUUUAUAAUAAUGAUAAUAAUAAUAAUAAUAAGUCUUAUGUUUACCAAAUAAUAUCAAUCUUCUUAUCUAACUAUCAGCAAUAAAACAAAUUUCCCAAAAUCCCUUAAAGCUGCUGUAAGCAACUUUUCAUGAAAACAUGUUUUUGUCAGUUUUUCUGAAACUUUCACUAUAUCCUGACAGUAGCUCAUGACACAGAUAAUCUGUGAAAAAAUCCGGUUCCUCUGGCUCCUCCUAGUGCUCCUAAUGAUAUUUGUAAGAAUUCACUAGGCCUGAACGAAAACAACCAAUCAGAGCCGAGAAAGAUAGUUGAUUGUUGAAUCUCCGAGGGCAUCAAAUUUGGGACCCUGGGACUCAACAAUCAACUGGGCCUGGUGGAUUCUCACAAAUGUUACUACUGUCAGAACACAUUGAAAAUGUCAGCACCUACUACAGCUUUCAAUACCUAGGAUUUUUUUCUGAACUUCAACUUGGAUUUUGUUUGUUUUUUACCUUAUUUAGUCUUGAAAAUAUUAGAAAUAAUUGAUUUAUUUAAUAAGAUUUGAAACCAACUCAGGGGCUUCAAAGUUACUAUGUGUAUAGCGUGAUUAUAGAUAUAUAUGAUUAUAGUAGCCUUCAAAACAUGGUAAUGGUUUAAGUUGUGUUUGUUGGAACAUAAGAUAAUACAGACAGUGAAAACUGGUGCAGUCUAUGUGUUUCUUUUAGCCAUUUUUGUCCCUGCCCUAUCUGCCCUAGUAAAUAACUUGAGUAAAGGUCAAUUAUAUCUGUCCUUUUUUGGCUUUCAAAAAGUAAAUGGCUUUUGAUUCUGUGAAGUGUGCUUAUCCACUUGUAUUCCUCUUAAUCAUGUUCAGGAUCUAAAGUGGCCGCCUCCUGCCUUUUGUUCUAUAAUUAACUGGAGGGCUCUUAAUCUUACUGAGAUUAAAACACCCUGAUCAAUGUUGAAGUGUCCCUCUGUCUCUUUUAGAAGUGAGCGCUAAUGUGACCACGGGUCAGUGUGCGUGGCCUGCUAAAUGGAAACUCGGAGUGAGAAGGAUCGAUCAUCACGGGGCUUUGAGGGAGCAACAGCAAUAAUAUACUGAAUGUAACACCAUUAUGGAAAUCUUUCAACAUCAAUACACCCAUCAAACUUUUCUUUUAUCUGGGAAGUGUAAUUAUUUAUGUGGUUAGCAUUUUAGUGACUUUUAGGGCAAAGGAGCACAUAUUAAAAAUAUCAGAGAAAAGGGUUAGUCACAAGCAAAUACAAAAGACCGAGAAAAAAUAGAAGGGAAAACAAAAGGUGAGGUGAGAGCAAGUGCACACGAAUAGUAAGAAUGAAAGGAAAUGCUUUGUACGCGGGAACAAGACUGAAAAAUAAAACUUUUUUAAUACAACUGUAAGCCAAAUCAAUAUAUGUACUUGUGUACCAUACGCUGUGUAUAAAUUGUGCAUAUUGUACAUCCUGUUUCUGUAUGAUUUCCAUGUGCUGUUAUGCGUUAAACUCACUGUGUCGAUAGAUAAAGACAUGUUGAGGCUGUAGAUAUCCUUAACAGUAAUAAAAAAAUUAUC